CCUGUAAUCCCAGCACUUUGGCAGGUCGAGGCUGGCGGAUCACCUAAGGUCAGGAGUUCGAGACCAGGCUGGCCAACAUGGCGAAACUGUCUCUACUAAAAAUACAGAAAUUAGCCAGGAGUGAUGGCACACACCUGUAAUCCCAGCUACUUGGAAAGCUGAGGCAGGAGAAUCGUUUGAAGCGGGGAAAGCGAGGUUGCAGUCAGCUGAGAUCACACCACUGCACUUCAGCCAGCCUGGGUGACAGAGCGACACUCUGUUUCAAAAAUAAACGAAUAAAUAAAAUGGAAUUCUG
rnacentral:lncRNA from 1 species